GCCAAUGGGUUCGGAUGGAAAACUUAUACCAUACUGGCACUAUAAGCUAAAGGUGUAUGUUUCAAAUGCCUUCAAAUAUGUUGAUCUUUAUUUGGCGAAAUAUAAUCUCUAGAUGGGUGUUAAGGUGGAGGGGUGGAUGUUUGAAAUUCGAAUAAACAUGAUGAAGUUUAUUAUUUAAUUUUCUAUCUUUCUACUAUUGCAAUGCACUUAUUGUUUGAAAAACUUGAAGAGGGUUCUAGAUAACUGAAAUUCGAAUAAACAUGAUGAACACGGAUGAUAACUCGAAUUUUCUGGUGCGUGUGUUUGUUCAGUGAUUUUGUUUGAAAUCUGAAUUAUAAAUAGAUGUACAGGAUUGGUUGUU